rnacentral:rRNA from 1 species
ACGCUGGCGGCGUGCCUAACACAUGCAAGUCGAACGGAGAGUCUAAUUGAGGAGACUUCGGUCAACGAGAUAGAUUUCUUAGUGGCGACGGGUGAGUUAACGCGUGAGCAAUCUGCCUUUCAGAGGGGGAUAACGUUCUGAAAAGAACGCUAAUACCGCAUAACGUAUGAUGGUGGCAUCACCGGCAUACCAAAGGAGCAAUCCGCUGAAAGAUGAGCUCGCGUCUGAUUAGCUAGUUGGUGGGGUAACGGCUUUACCAAGGCAACGAUCAGUAGCCGGACUGAGAGGUUGAACGGCCACAUUGGGACUGAGAUACGGCCCAGACUCCUACGGGAGGCAGCAGUCGGGAAUAUUGCGCAAUGGAGGAAACUCUGACGCAGUGACGCCGCGUGCAGGAAGAAGGUUUUCGGAUUGUAAACUGCUUUAGACAGGGAAGAAACAAGACAGUACCUGUAGAAUAAGCUCCGGCUAACUACGUG